AAAGUACCCCCUCCAUCCCAAAAUUCAUGUCUUAGAUUUGUCUAGAUACGGAUGUAUCAAGUCACAUUUUAGUAUUAGAUACAUCCGUAUCUAGACAAAUCUAAGACAAGAAAUUUGGGACAGAGGGAGUAGUUG
rnacentral:pre_miRNA from 1 species